rnacentral:rRNA from 1 species
GAGUUUGAUCUUGGCUCAGAACGAACGCUGGCGGCAGGCUUAACACAUGCAAGUCGAGCGCCCCGCAAGGGGAGCGGCAGACGGGUGAGUAACGCGUGGGAAUCUACCUUUUGCUACGGAAUAACUCAGGGAAACUUGUGCUAAUACCGUAUGUGCCCUUCGGGGGAAAGAUUUAUCGGCAAAGGAUGAGCCCGCGUUGGAUUAGCUAGUUGGUGGGGUAAAGGCCUACCAAGGCGACGAUCCAUAGCUGGUCUGAGAGGAUGAUCAGCCACAUUGGGACUGAGACACGGCCCAAACUCCUACGGGAGGCAGCAGUGGGGAAUAUUGGACAAUGGGCGCAAGCCUGAUCCAGCCAUGCCGCGUGAGUGAUGAAGGCCUUAGGGUUGUAAAGCUCUUUCACCGGUGAAGAUAAUGACGGUAACCGGAGAAGAAGCCCCGGCUAACUUCGUGCCAGCAGCCGCCGCAGUAAC